rnacentral:rRNA from 1 species
GACGAACGCUGGCGGCGCGCCUAACACAUGCAAGUCGAACGAGCGAGAGAGAGCUUGCUUUCUUGAGCGAGUGGCGAACGGGUGAGUAACGCGUGAGGAACCUGCCUCAAAGAGGGGGACAACAGUUGGAAACGACUGCUAAUACCGCAUAAGCCCACGACCCGGCAUCGGGUUGAGGGAAAAGGAGCAAUCCGCUUUGAGAUGGCCUCGCGUCCGAUUAGCUAGUUGGUGAGGUAACGGCCCACCAAGGCGACGAUCGGUAGCCGGACUGAGAGGUUGAACGGCCACAUUGGGACUGAGACACGGCCCAGACUCCUACGGGAGGCAGCAGUGGGGAAUAUUGCACAAUGGGGGAAACCCUGAUGCAGCGACGCCGCGCGGAGGAAGAAGGUCUUCGGAUUGUAAACUCCUGUUGUUGAGGAAGAUAAUGACGGUACUCAACAAGGAAGUGACGGCUAACUACGUG